GCCGUCGCUGCAGUCGACGAUUAGAGUUUGAUCCUGGCUCAGGAUGAACGCUGGCGGCGUGCCUAAUACAUGCAAGUCGAGCGAAUGGAUUAAGAGCUUGCUCUUAUGAAGUUAGCGGCGGACGGGUGAGUAACACGUGGGUAACCUGCCCAUAAGACUGGGAUAACUCCGGGAAACCGGGGCUAAUACCGGAUAACAUUUUGAACUGCAUGGUUCGAAAUUGAAAGGCGGCUUCGGCUGUCACUUAUGGAUGGACCCGCGUCGCAUUAGCUAGUUGGUGAGGUAACGGCUCACCAAGGCAACGAUGCGUAGCCGACCUGAGAGGGUGAUCGGCCACACUGGGACUGAGACACGGCCCAGACUCCUACGGGAGGCAGCAGUAGGGAAUCUUCCGCAAUGGACGAAAGUCCGACGGAGCAACGCCGCGUGAGUGAUGAAGGCUUUCGGGUCGUAAAACUCUGUUGUUAGGGAAGAACAAGUGCUAGUUGAAUAAGCUGGCACCUUGACGGUACCUAACCAGAAAGCCACGGCUAACUACGUGCCAGCAGCCGCGGUAAUACGUAGGUGGCAAGCGUUAUCCGGAAUUAUUGGGCGUAAAGCGCGCGCAGGUGGUUUCUUAAGUCUGAUGUGAAAGCCCACGGCUCAACCGUGGAGGGUCAUUGGAAACUGGGAGACUUGAGUGCAGAAGAGGAAAGUGGAAUUCCAUGUGUAGCGGUGAAAUGCGUAGAGAUAUGGAGGAACACCAGUGGCGAAAGCGACUUUCUGGUCUGUAACUGACACUGAGGCGCGAAAGCGUGGGGAGCAAACAGGAUUAGAUACCCUGGUAGUCCACGCCGUAAACGAUGAGUGCUAAGUGUUAGAGGGUUUCCGCCCUUUAGUGCUGAAGUUAACGCAUUAAGCACUCCGCCUGGGGAGUACGCCGCAGCUGAACUCAAGGAAUUGACGGGGCCCGCACAGCGUGGAGCAUGUGGUUUAUUCGAGCACGCGAGACUUACAGUCUGACAUCUCUGACACCCUAGAGAUAGGGCUCUCUCGGAGCGAUUGACAGUGUUGCAUGCUGUCGUCAGCUCUGUCUGAGAUGGUGGUAAGUCCACACGAGCGCCU
rnacentral:rRNA from 1 species